rnacentral:rRNA from 1 species
GGGGGGCUAAAAUGCAAGUCGAGCGAGCUUGCCUAGAUGAUUUUAGUGCUUGCACUAAAUGAAACUAGAUACAAGCGAGCGGCGGACGGGUGAGUAACACGUGGGUAACCUGCCCAAGAGACUGGGAUAACACCUGGAAACAGAUGCUAAUACCGGAUAACAACACUAGACGCAUGUCUAGAGUUUGAAAGAUGGUUCUGCUAUCACUCUUGGAUGGACCUGCGGUGCAUUAGCUAGUUGGUAAGGUAACGGCUUACCAAGGCAAUGAUGCAUAGCCGAGUUGAGAGACUGAUCGGCCACAUUGGGACUGAGACACGGCCCAAACUCCUACGGGAGGCAGCAGUAGGGAAUCUUCCACAAUGGACGAAAGUCUGAUGGAGCAACGCCGCGUGAGUGAAGAAGGGUUUCGGCUCGUAAAGCUCUGUUGGUAGUGAAGAAAGAUAGAGGUAGUAACUGGCCUUUAUUUGACGGUAAUUACUUAGAAAGUCACGGCUAACUACGUGCCAGCAGCCGCGGUAAUACGUAGGUGGCAAGCGUUGUCCGGAUUUAUUGGGCGUAAAGCGAGUGCAGGCGGUUCAAUAAGUCUGAUGUGAAAGCCUUCGGCUCAACCGGAGAAUUGCAUCAGAAACUGUUGAACUUGAGUGCAGAAGAGGAGAGUGGAACUCCAUGUGUAGCGGUGGAAUGCGUAGAUAUAUGGAAGAACACCAGUGGCGAAGGCGGCUCUCUGGUCUGCAACUGACGCUGAGGCUC